rnacentral:rRNA from 1 species
GACGAACGCUGGCGGCGUGCUUAACACAUGCAAGUCGAGCGGUAAGGCCCUUUCGGGGGUACACGAGCGGCGAACGGGUGAGUAACACGUGGGUGACCUGCCCUCAGCUCUGGGAUAAGCCUGGGAAACCGGGUCUAAUACUGGAUAUGACUCCAUGACGCAUGUUGUGGGGUGGAAAGCCUUGUGCGGCUGAGGAUGGGCCCGCGGCCUAUCAGCUUGUUGGUGGGGUGANGGCCUACCAAGGCGACGACGGGUAGCCGGCCUGAGAGGGCGACCGGCCACACUGGGACUGAGACACGGCCCAGACUCCUACGGGAGGCAGCAGUGGGGAAUCUUGCGCAAGUGGGACGAAAGCCUGACGCAGCGACGCCGCGUGA